GCACGAAGGCUCAGUAGUUGUGGCUCACAGGCUCUAGAGUGCAGGCUCAGUAGUUGUGGCACACUGGCUUAGUUGCUCUGUGGCCUGUGGGAUCUUCCCCGAAAAGGGCUUGAACUGGUGUCCCUUGCGAUGGCAGGCAGAUUCUUAACCACUGUGCCACCAGGGAAGUCCUGGAAUUUGAGUAGUGAGGAACAAGGAG